rnacentral:rRNA from 1 species
GAUGAACGCUAGCGGCAGGCUUAAUACAUGCAAGUCGUGGGGCAGCAUGAAUGUAGCAAUACAUUUGAUGGCGACCGGCAAACGGGUGCGGAACACGUACACAACCUUCCUAUAAGUGGGGAAUAGCCCAGAGAAAUUUGGAUUAAUACCCCGUAACAUAAUGAUGUGGCAUCACAUUAUUAUUAUAGCUACGGCGCUUAUUGAUGGGUGUGCGGCUGAUUAGAUAGUUGGCGGGGUAACGGCCCACCAAGUCUACGAUCAGUAGCUGAUGUGAGAGCAUGAUCAGCCACACGGGCACUGAGACACGGGCCCGACUCCUACGGGAGGCAGCAGUAAGGAAGAUUGGUCAAUGGACGCAAGUCUGAACCAGCCAUGCCGCGUGAAGGAUUAAGGUCCUCUGGAUUGUAAACUUCUUUUAUCUGGGACGAAAAAAGGCGAUUCUUCGUCACUUGACGGUACCAGAUGAAUAAGCACCGGCUAACUCCGUGCCAGCAGCCGCAGUAAAAC